AAACAAUAAAAUACCCAAAUACACAAGAAAAUGACAUAGAAUUUAGAAACCGCCCGAAAAAGGAACAGUCACUCAACCAGCAGUGUCCGAUGUAGCUUGAGAACAUUUUAAAUAAUUGUUACAGACUGAUAGUUUUGCUGUAAUGUAACUUUCAAGUAAAUUAAUUCAUUCUCACCAGAACUCCCAUUGUAAUAGUCACCCAACGAGCACGCCCAUUUUCUUCCAUUUUCCGAUCAAAGGAAAACCUUCCGUCAAUUCUCGGUGGCUAGAGGCAAAAAUCACCUCGAGAAAAAAAAUAAAAAAAGCCGCCCAUGUAAACCCGGCAUCGCCAAGACCAUGAGCCAGAAUAAAGCCCACAGACCACGCCAUGACCCAGCCAAGUAACCCGAGGAAGACAUGAAGAGGAACCCGAAGGCGAACCCGAAGGCGAACCCGGAGGCCCUUUUGACACCCUCGGCUCUGGCUGCCAGAUGACCGCUCUUCAGCACCAUCACUAAACCUGGAAAUUUCGAGGAGAACCGUCCACUCAUUCACGCCAGGAAUCCAUCGCCAUCUCCACCACCCACACCUCCCCCAACGCCGCCACCAACACCUCCACCGACACCACCUCCAACGCCGCCACCAACGCCUCCACCCUCCCCUCCCCCUGUACCUCCAUAAUGUUGGAAGUGACUUGUAAUGAUCGGCUGGGUAAAAAAGUGCGUGUCAAGUGCAACCCAGAUGACACAAUUGGUGACUUGAAGAAGUUAAUUGCUGCACAAACGGGGACACGCUGGGACAAGAUUGUGCUGAAGAAGUGGUACACGAUUUUCAAGGACCACAUCACAAUAGCCGACUACGAGAUUCAUGAUGGCAUGAACCUUGAACUGUAUUAUCAGUAAAACAUGUAAUAGAUGCCUUCAUAUAUAUUUUUUCUUUUCUUUUUUUUCCCCCCCUUUUUUGUAUAAUAUAUAAAGAUUAUGCAAGUUAUGCAUAACUUGGUUGUUGAUUCUAUUGCAUCAUUCAUACCUAAUGGUUGAGAUCCAUAUUUCCUGUAUUUGAAUGAUAUGUGUGUCCCGGGUCCUGUAUUAUACUUCUCAUCUCUUUCAUGCCCCUCUAAGUAUGCUCUGGUUUUUAUCACAAAGGAAGUUAUAUUUUUUUUGUCCAAGAGAAGACAGGAGGAUUACUAUGAUCAUCAUUAGUUAUCUCAGGUGGCAGUCUGCAGAGACCUUACUUACCUGCACUGGAAUGUUUGAGUCCUUGAGUCUUAUUUUCACCUGAUUGGAUCUGUAUUGUCGAGUUUGUAAUAAAUAUUGGAAAUGUAA